GACGAACGCUGGCGGUGUGCUUAAUACAUGCAAGUCGAACGAAGAGGCCCCUCGGGGUACUUCAGUGGCGGACGGCUGAGUAAUGCAUAGGUAACGUGCCCUUAACUGGGGGAUAACACCGGGAAACUGGUGCUAAUACCGCAUAAGUGUCAGGUUGAAAUACCUGCCAUUAAAGAAUUUCGGUUAAGGAUCGGCCUGUG
rnacentral:rRNA from 1 species